rnacentral:rRNA from 1 species
AGUGAACGCUGGCGGUAGGCCUAACACAUGCAAGUCGAACGGCAGCACAGUAAGAGCUUGCUCUUACGGGUGGCGAGUGGCGGACGGGUGAGGAAUACAUCGGAAUCUACUUUUUCGUGGGGGAUAACGUAGGGAAACUUACACUAAUACCGCAUACGACCUACGGGUGAAAGCAGGGGAUCUUCGGACCUUGCGCGAUUGAAUGAGCCGAUGUCGGAUUAGCUAGUUGGCGGGGUAAAGGCCCACCAAGGCGACGAUCCGUAGCUGGUCUGAGAGGAUGAUCAGCCACACUGGAACUGAGACACGGUCCAGACUCCUACGGGAGGCAGAAGUGGGGAAUAUUGGACAAAGGGCGCAAGCCUGAUCCAGCCAUACCGCGUGGGUGAAGAAGGCCUUCGGGUUGUAAAGCCCUUUUGUUGGGAAAGAAAAGCAGCAGGUUAAUACCCCGCUGUUCUGACGGUACCCAAAGAAUAAGCACCGGCUAACUUCGUG